rnacentral:misc_RNA from 1 species
GAUGAAGAACGUAGCGAAAUGCGAUAAGUAAUGUGAAAUGCAGAAUUCAGUGAACCAUCGAAUCUUUGAACGCACAUUGCGCCCGGCAGUAAUCUGCCGGGCAUGCCUGUCCGAGCGUCAUUUCUACCCUCGAGCGAGUCCAGCAUCUAGGUGCUGGGCCUCGCCCGGCGUUGGAGCACUACGGGAAGCCCUGUGCUGUCCCCCGUAGGCCCCGAAAUGAAGUGGCGGUCCUGCCGCGGCGCCCCCUGCGUAGUAUAACAGCUCGCUUCGGGACCCGGUGGAGGCCUGCCGUCAAACCUAUACUCUCUAAGUUUGACCUCGGAUCAGGUAGGGUUACCCGCUGAACUUAAGCAUAUCAAUAAGCGGAGGA